GAUUAUUGAACUAUUUUUAAAGAAAUUCUACCGGUAAACAUGGCAGUUUAAUUAUAGGAGACAUUCGUUUGAAAUACGAUAAAUGUUGUGUCGCGGUUGACUCACGUAGAUUUGUUCCUCUUCGGGAUCCAUAGUUCGUCACACGGCCGCCUGAUCUUCGCACGACCGACUAUCCGGCGAGUUAGUCUUCAACAAUUUGUAUGCGAUGAAGAGCGAACAAAGAAUAGACAAUCCUGAACAAUGAACCGUGUUAGAUGAAUGAACCUUAAAACACAGAACAGUGCUAUCCAACCCAAAAUAUGUUCGAACGCAGAAUUACUGCUAUUUACAUGACAAACUUCGUUAAAAGAUUUGUGUGCACAAUGUGUUAUCAUCCAUCGAUUAAUAUCCCGACGCGUUACGAUGAAAUUAAUCUUAUGGUUAUUUCAUGUAAAACGUAUGGAGAAACGAUCGUUAUCGCAAAAGUUAUCAGCCUCGCAACUACAUGCUGAAUUAACAGCCAGCACAGGUAAUAUACGAAACUUAAAGUAACGAUUCUGGAAGAAAUAAUUACAAUAAUUAUGUACUGUGAUACACUAUUGGAUUCGAAGAAGAUUAAAAUUUCUGUAAGGAAAGCGGGCAAGCAAUUAAAUUUCUCAAAGAAAUGAUUUUUUAAAUAAAUUUUUCGCGCAAAUUAAUAGGUAUCAAAACACAAUAUAACUUUAAUUUGAAUUACUUUUUCAUAUCUUUUGUCGUUUACGAUCUAUAAACAUUUACAUAGAAAGCCAACUCGGACGAGAGGGUUGAUUUCUCCCUUAAAGCACGAACGAAUUACGGCUAAAUUCCUUAGUUGAGUCUAACGAACACUCUUGCAGAAUCUCGUCUCAUCGAUGGUGUUAGUCAAGGAUUGUUAUGAAUAUGAAUCUUCUAGAAUCUAGAGCAUCAUCUUCGAUGGCACGUCCGCGCGCACGACUACAAUGUCGAUAUCGAGAUUCAAAGGAUGCAUUUUCUAAAAGAGAGCGUUUCUGACAUCAAGAACACGUUGGUUGGCAUAGCGUUCUCCGUAAUAGCGAACAGCAGCGAAUAAAUUACUGCUAUAGGCAUUCGAAGUCUUGAUUAUCUCGAGGUAUUCCUUGUUCCUGUAUCUCAUGGUCGCGAUUAAGCGAAACUAACAGCUUGCGUGAACGAAACAUUAGAGAAAUUCGCGGAAACCUUGUAUACAUACGUGAUACACGUCGCACAUCGCUCAGCACAGAGAAAUUUCGAAUUCAACGUAUCAUACGCUUCAGCUUGAUUGUCAACGAUGUACGCUUUUUAUGUCGUAGGCAAUAAGGACAACUUACAUAGAGAAAUUUGAUCGAAUUCCUUUUCAUUUCUAUAAUUCGUGUGACUCCAUUGAACUAUCGCGGCAGACUAUGUGUUUGCUUUGGAAGUUCGUAGUUGAUUGGCUCCUCAAGCGAACUUGCGAGGCUGAGAAGCAGUUCCUAGAUGGAUAGAGCCGAUUCUGUUAA
rnacentral:misc_RNA from 1 species